CCUGGAACUUACUCUGUAGACCAGGCUGGCCUUAAAUUCAUAGAGAUCUAUCUGUCUCUGCCUCCUGAGUGCUGGGAU
rnacentral:miRNA from 1 species